rnacentral:rRNA from 1 species
GAUGAACGCUGGCGGCGUGCCUAAUACAUGCAAGUCGAGUGAACAGACGAGGAGCUUGCUCCUCUGACGUUAGCGGCGGACGGGUGAGUAACACGUGGAUAACCUACCUAUAAGACUGGGAUAACUUCGGGAAACCGGAGCUAAUACCGGAUAAUAUAUUGAACCGCAUGGUUCAAUAGUGAAAGACGGUUUUGCUGUCACUUAUAGAUGGAUCCGCGCCGCAUUAGCUAGUUGGUAAGGUAACGGCUUACCAAGGCAACGAUGCGUAGCCGACCUGAGAGGGUGAUCGGCCACACUGGAACUGAGACACGGUCCAGACUCCUACGGGAGGCAGCAGUAGGGAAUCUUCCGCAAUGGGCGAAAGCCUGACGGAGCAACGCCGCGUGAGUGAUGAAGGUCUUCGGAUCGUAAAACUCUGUUAUUAGGGAAGAACAAAUGUGUAAGUAACUAUGCACGUCUUGACGGUACCUAAUCAGAAAGCCACGGCUAACUAUGUG